GAUAAACAUUGGUUUCCGUGUCCAACAUUUAACCGUCCAUCUUAUUUAAAAAAAUUAUGAAAAAAUUAAAAAGACAAGUCACGUAUAAAAUAUUAAUCAUGUUUUAUCAUCUAACAAUAAUAAAAAUAUAAAUUAUAAAAAAAUUUCAUAUAAAACGGACAGUUAAAGUUGGACACGUAAACCUAGAGUUUGACUUUUU
rnacentral:pre_miRNA from 1 species